GGGUUGUGAGGUUAAGCGACUAAGCGUACACGGUGGAUGCCCUGGCAGUCAGAGGCGAUGAAGGACGUGCUAAUCUGCGAUAAGCGUCGGUAAGGUGAUAUGAACCGUUAUAACCGGCGAUUUCCGAAUGGGGAAACCCAGUGUGAUUCGUCACACUAUCAUUAACUGAAUCCAUAGGUUAAUGAGGCGAACCGGGGGAACUGAAACAUCUAAGUACCC
rnacentral:rRNA from 1 species